UUCCUCGGACUUGAUUGGUUGAUAGGAAAUAUUAAAGAGAACUCGUCUAGGCGUUGUCGCGCUCAUAGUAUCUUUGGCUUCAGAAGGUAUCAUCACGGCGAACAGAAUUUUAUAAAAAUCUAAGAAUGAAUACACAAUUAGUUAUCGCUGUAGUAGCUGUUAUAAGCUGUUUUGGCCUAACAGAGGCGACAUGUAACAACUCUACAGCUAUGCAAUGUAAGACUACAUUUGAUGGUGCUACUAAAACAACCGAUGAACAAAAAUGCGAGACCCUUGAUACUUAUAUGCAUUGUUUGAUUGACGCCGAUUGUUUUACUGGUAGUGCUGCGUAUCGAGCUCAGUUUACUACCGCCGAAACGGCACAGGCUGUAACAUGUGAGUGUACCGCAAGUAGAGCUACAAAAUGUAUCACUGCAAGCUGCGAUGAUAUCGGCGACUACAAGGCCUGUUUAGAUGUUACUACUUGCUAUAAUGGUGUUUACAAGACUGCAUAUGAUGCUAAAAGUUUUUUAUGUGGUGGAGCAGGAGCAUCAACUGUAAGCCUAACUUUGAUGGCUAUCUCAUCUCUCUUUAUGAUUCUCAAAAACAACUUUUAAAUAAUUUUAUUUUUUAAAUCGCUUUACUAAUAGUUAUAUGAAGUUUCUCUUUUCAUUAUAAUAAAUAUUUAAAAAAUGUCCAUCGUUGAUCAAUAAAUAGCCAACAUUUUAAAUGUUGAUAUUAUUGGGUAUGAGAUGAUGAGCAUGAAUAUAUUGUAUAUAAAUGAUUAAUAGUUGUUAACCUGUUUUAUUAAAUUGUAUUUGUUGUUAAGCUUUAUCAUUUAAAUCAUAAUGAUUUAUUUUACUAACCGUUACUGGAAAUUCCAUAUCAAAAUUACAAAUCUGCUAAGUUCAUUUUCUUUUUGGUAAAUAGUGUAAAAUUUGUGAGAAUAAAUUAAAUUAUUUUUUUUUUAAAUCGUCAUUGACCAAUAAAGUAAACAUUUUAGAUGUUGAAAUAUUUGGAUAUGAAAUGACGAAACCAGUUAUACAAUCUUAAUUUCUUUCACUGUUUAUUGCUCAGUUUAUUUUUACAAAAUAAAGUUUUCUAAAGAAAGUC